CCUACGGGAGGCAGCAGUGGGGAAUAUUGCACAAUGGGGGAAACCCUGAUGCAGCGACGCCGCGUGAGCGAAGAAGUAUUUCGGUAUGGUAAACUCUAUCAGCAGGGGAAAAAAUGACGGUACCUGACUAAGAAGCUGCGUCUAAAUACGUCAAGGCAGCGCCGGUAAUACGUAGGGAGCAAGGGUAAUCCGGAGUUACGGGGUGUUAAGGGGGCGUAGGGGGUAUGGCAAGUCUGAUGUGAAAGGCCAGGGCUCAACCCUGGGACUGCAGUUGAAACUGGUGGACUGGAGUGUCGGUGAGGCAGGUGGAAUGCGUGGUGUAGCGGUGAAAUGCGUAGAUAUGAGGAAGAACACCAGUGGCGAAGGCAGCUUGCUGGACGAUGACUGACGCUGAGGCUCGAAAGCGUGGGUAGCAAACAGGAUUAGAUACCCUAGUAGUC
rnacentral:rRNA from 1 species